GGAUAACAUCUAGAAAUAGGUGCUAAUACCGGAUAGUCCCGCAAGGGUAAAGAUUUUUCGGUUUGGGAGGGGCCUGCGUACUAUCAGCUAGUUGGUAAGGUAAUGGCUUACCAAGGCUAUGACGGUUAACUGGUCUGAGAGGAUGAUCAGUCGCGAUGGGACUGAGACACGGCCCAUACUCCUACGGGAGGCAGCAGUAAGGAAUCUUCCACAAUGGACGAAAGUCUGAUGGAGCAACACCGCGUGAUCGAUGAAGCCUUUAGGGGUGUAAAGAUCUUUUCUGAGAGAAGAACUCUGACGGUAUCUUAGGAAUAAGCACCGGCUAACUCCGUGCCAGCAGCCGCGGUAAUACGGAGGGUGCAAGCGUUACCCGGAAUCAUUGGGCGUAAAGCGUCCGCAGGCGGUUUGUUAAGUAAGAUGUUAAAUUUUCCAGCUCAACUGGAAAUCUAUGUCUUAAACUGGCAAACUAGAGUAUUACAGAGGUGUGCAGAAUUCUGUGUGUAGGGGUAAAAUCCGUAGAUACACAGAGGAAUACCAAAAGCGAAGGCAGCACACUGGGUAAUUACUGACGCUCAGGGACGAAAGCGUGGGGAGCGAACGGGAUUAGAUACCCCGGUAGUCCACGCCGUAAACGAUGGAUACUAGGUGUUGGGAGACUCGACCCUUCCGGUGCCGAUGCUAACGCAUUAAGUAUCCCGCCUGGGAAGUACGGUCGCAAGAUUAAAACUCAAAGGAAUAGACGGGGACCCACACAAGCGGUGGAGCAUGUGGUUUAAUUCGAUGAUAAGCGAGGAACCUUACCCAGACUUGA
rnacentral:rRNA from 1 species